rnacentral:lncRNA from 1 species
CCCUUCCUCUACUGUUUUCUCUAGUCUCUCAACAAGGGGAGGCUCAGGUCCACAAGUAUUAUCUGUUCUAAUAAACUUGUUGAAAUCUCGUCCUACGCUUUUAGCUGCUCUUUCCAGUUCAGGUAUGAUGCUUUCUGGCAAAACUGCACUUCUUGUAUAUACAACAGCACCACCAUAUCCAUCCCAUGCAUCAUUCUUGCCCCGAUAGUACACGAAUACAUAAUCAUCAUUGCUAUUUUCUAUCUUGGACGACAAAAUAUACCUAGAUAUGACAUAUAUGUUAUGGUUAUUCUUGACAAAUUCAGCAAACGGCACAACCAUGAUACUCGAAGCUGUAGGAGAAAUUUUACUCUCUGCUGAUUAUGUGAUGUAUAUUAUAAGCAUUGAAUGGGUUACGUGCAUAGAUAAGGUCUAUGCCAGGUUUGAGUGUUCAUUUGUUCUUCAUUCACAAGGUCACAAGUGAUGAAACUCCAUGCAUUUUACAAGUAUCAGUGCAGCUUAUGACUUUUAUUCUCAAAUUAGGAUAACUACUAAUUGUAUAGAUGGUGUAAAUGCAGGGUGAAUGGUGAAGCCCUCAAGGCUGAAUUUUAAUAACUCAAUCAAUGCUCCUGAAAUGCAUUAAAUCAGUAAUUAAUAAGUGAAUCCUGAACUUAACAAUGAUGCUUUUAUCCCAAAGGUGAGACUGAAAAACCAGGGACCAAAUGUGCUUAACAGAGUGAAAGCAAACUCAAAAUGACUACCCUAUAAUGUAGAGCAUGUCAAAAGAAAUGAGUAAAAGAACUUUGUCUGCUACCACGAAUGGUUACUGCAGAGUUUUAUCUUUUCAGCCACUAGACACUCUAUUUGGAUUGUUUAGAAUUUCUUUGUACUGGGCUGGGCACAAGCUAAACUAAUUUAAUACAAGUAAAAAGUGAAUUAAAAAUGUGCUGUCAAAUUAGUAAGAGAACGGGAAGAAGGCAUUUA